GUUUAACGGCCGCGGUAUUUUAACCGUGCAAAGGUAGCGCAAUCACUUGUCUUUUAAAUAAAGACCCGUAUGAAUGGCACCACGAGGGCUUAACUGUCUCCUUUUUCCUGUCAAUGAAAUUGAUCUCCCCGUGCAGAAGCGGGGAUAAGCACAUAAGACGAGAAGACCCUGUGGAACUUCAGGCCUUUAGCAGAUUAUGUCAAACACCAGCAAAUAACUGAUUAAACUAAUUUACCCCUGCUCACAUUUUGCCUUUGGUUGGGGCGACCAUGGGGAAAUAAAAACCCCCCACGAGGACUAGGAGUACAACAUCAACUCUCCUACAACACAGGGCCACAGCCCUAAGUAACAGAACCUCUGACCUACCUACGAUCCGGCACCAGACCGAUCAACGAACCCAGCUACCCCAGGGAUAACAGCGCAAUCCCCUCCCAGAGCCCAUAUCGACGAGAGGGUUUACGACCUCGAUGUUGGAUCAGGACAUCCUAUUGGUGCAGCCGCUAUUAAGGGUUCGUUUGUUCAACGAUU
rnacentral:rRNA from 1 species